AAAUGUGGAAAACAUAAAAGUUAUAUUUCUGGAGUAGCUUUGCCAGUUUUAUUUGUUUCAGUUAUUUCACAUCGUUGCUGUUUCUCAAUGAAUGUUGUUAGUUUCUUAGUUUUUAUGGGUGUUACAGCUUAGAGUCUGAGGAACAGGACUUUGUUCAACAAAUGAGGCUAAAAAUUAAUUUCAAUCUAGCGAAAAUAAAUAGUGGCUGUACAAUGAUGUUGAUCUUUCCCUUGGUGCACAAUGAUAGUGCGGUGGUUCGUCAGUGAGUGGUGGUAACAGCCACCUGCGUUUGAAAUCCUAGCUUGCACAAAACAGAUACCCAUACCCUCACUGCUACACACACAAAAAGUGGCAGGGAGCUGGCCUGUGGUAACGUUGUUGUCCUACCAGCAGCAGCAGAUAAUGGCAGUGGUCACUGGCCUGGUUUAUGGUGCGGCAGGCGAGGCCUGGGUUGUUUUAAAAAAACUUUUCCUUAAUAUUGAUUCAAUGACUUUGAAAAACUUAAUCUUGGAAUGUGGUCAGAAUUAUCAUUUUUCUCCUGUCUGCCAAACUUCCAAUUAAUUGUUCCGAUCAUUGCUGUUAAAAGAGUAUGGAGACAUACACCUUUGAUUUAUCUCUUGUAUUUGUUAAACAAAAAAAUGCAAUUUAAUAUGCUCAUCUUUAUGUACCCUUUUGAGUAGCACUAACCGGAAAGGCUGAAACACCUGGUAAUCCUUAUAUGCAAGGUUAGAGACUUGUGUGCAACUCGUGUAAAUUAUGUAAUAAUGAUAAUUGAUAAUACUUCUGAUAGUCAGUUCAUCUGUUUCUUCUAGUUGAAGUACGAUUAUGGGCUUAUUGCCUUAUCUAUGAAAGCUUGAUGUUUUUAAUUGACAAGUGACACAUAACCUAGCUUAGGAACAUUAUGGAUUGCACUGGUCCAUAGUUAUUGCAUUUCGUGUCCAAGUUGUUGCAGCAUCCAAUAAUAUUGGUCCAUAUAUGGCUAACAUAUUCCAGUACCAUGCCAUGAAUAUACUGUUCAUGAUCUUCCAUAUUAUCAUUGUUUUGAUUUGGCCUUUCAUACUGUUAUUUUGCUCGUGUGAGCUGAAUUGCACAAACAUUUAAGUAAUAAACAUGCAAAUACCAAUUUUGUUAAUCAUGUAACAGGUUGACAUGCGGGCCCGAAUACGCGGGAACAAGGGAUACUAGUGAUGUGCCUGCAAUAUCCACAAUCAGUUUUGGUUUCUAGCCAUGCUUCUGUGACAUUGAGGUGUAAUGAUAACAUGGUUUAGUUUGCCCGUGUUCUGUUUUUGAUAGGUGAGGGGAACUCACAACACACGUGGCUUCAAUUGAUGAGGGGAGUGCAUUCCUGUCUACAUUCUAUACAUUUGAUAUUCCCUCUGUUUUAAAUGUUUGACGUUUUGUUACUAUGAUCUGUGCGUGUAGCAAAAGUUAAUCUAUGGCCCGUUUGGUUUAGCCGUAGAUUCCUGAAAAUCUAAUUCUAGCCGUGAAAGUUGUGGCGAGAUGACUGUUGUGUUGUGGAAAAACUAAAAUAUGUUUGGUCAAAAUAACUAAUAUGAAUGAUAAAAAUCUGAGAUAGAAGGUGAUUCUGAAUUGAACUAGAGGACUCUAUAGAUUUUCAUGAAUUUAUUCUACUCAUUUGGUUGAAAUUCCGGAAUUUUGGCAGCGAAUUUGGUUCAAAAAACUGAACCAAAUACACCCUAUGUCUGUUCCUGAAUGUAAGAGGAACUGAGAGCACACCGAUAGUUUGAAUUGAUGAGAGGUAUAUCUCAAUGUUGGCCUCUAACCUGACUUUUGGAAAAAGGUGUUUCCUGAACACUUUCUGCUACUACUUUGAAAAGGCAGUUUUUAGACCAAUUCGAAAACAUCUUAUUUUUUUUGCUGCUUAUCCAAGUUUGAUAUAUUAGUGAAGCGAUAUAAAUAUAAAUUAAAAUGGAAUAAAAAAUUAUCAAAUGUUACAAUAAAAUCUUUUUCGUCCGCAUUUUGCUUGCUUUCCGGAGAAGUUCCAUCAUACGAUGGCCUCUAAAGUUGUCUUUCCAGAGAAGUUCCAUCAUUCCCCAUCUGUUCAGGUGGUGUGACUUGUAAAUGCUGCUUUGUCUUGAACUGAACCUGUGGACCCUUUCAGCAAAAUAGUUCAUAUCUUUUUCUUUAUUAAACUAAAAUCACAUGAUAACAAAGAUUUCAGAUUAGCUAUGCACAUUUUUUACUUAAGUGUGUAAAUAAUUGCUGAACCUGCGUUUUGGCUAAGAAAAAUCACUGCAUGUUAUGCAAUGUGUUACAUUUGUUAUUUAAAAUAAAAAAAUAUAUUUACAAUGUUCUGCAGAUCAAUGGAAAAAGGUGAGCUAUCAUCCGGUAUUAUGUUGUUAUAUAAAUAAAUCAAUAGAAAAAAUGUAAUCAGGUGCUAGGGUAGCUAGCAUUUUUUUAAGAUGUUUGGCAGAGCUUCAUCAGUUCCAAAUCCACACAGGUCUACUAUAGAGCAGCUCUACUAGUUUGUUCGUUUCAUGCAAGUGUUCAAUACACUAUUUAGCACAUUGAAAGUGUUCAAUACACUAUUUAGCACAUUUGUAUUAGUAGUUAGCUUUUCGCUAUUAAUGCAGGAUCUUACUUAUCUCUCUCACAAAGUUUCUUGGUUCUUGUGUCUAAAUUUGGCGGUAAAUUUACAGUCCGCUUCUCUUCUCUUCUUUUUCAUCCAUCUCAGCAUUUAGCUAGCUUCUAACCUCUUAAUUAUACUUACUCUUAGAGCAAGCUUAAUAACGCAACCUAUAGUGAGCUUUAUAAGAGCAAGUUUAACAAUAGUGCCUAUGGUGGGCUUAAAACCUCUAUAGCCAUCAAUAAAACAUUCAUAUAAUGGUGUUAACUAUAAGGUUGACUCUUAGAUUACUAUUUUGUCUUUUUGUCUUUUAUCUUUUUAUUUUGGAGCUCGUGUAGCAGCUGACUCUUGUAUAAGAGCCCACUUCUCCUAAUUUUUUAUCUCUCUCUUCCACGUAAGAAAAAAUGUCGUGUAAGCAGGCCUGUAGCUAUAAUAACUCUCUCACGAUAAAAACUGCACAUUUAAUACUUCGUCAAACUCUUUCUUUUAUAGAGUCUAGCUACUAGUGAGUAAUCUGAUUUUCUCUCUCUUUAUUUCUCUUUCUUUCACAUCAUUAUAAUUUGGUAUAUCAUCCCUUGCAGCCCAUCUACAUCAUCUUAUUAUAUUUGUUCUUAGACUAUCUCUAACAGAUUUUCUAUACUUUGCAAACAAUGUAAUCUACAGUACAAAACAGUACUUUGCACGACCUGCUGGAGAUGACCUUAGUGAUAACAUAUGCUACCUAUUAUACCACGAUAGCGCCUCUUUGGUAUCGCUGCAAACAAUGCAAGGGCAACUAAGCUUCUCAAAAUCUUUUGGAUGGAGCCGCUAGCGGGAACGAAGCCAUUCUAUCCCAAGUGGCUUCGAAACCAAACGCUACGUAAGUUAACACAUUGGCCAAUAUUGAUUCACCGGCUGAACAAGAAGAGGGUGGAUUUCUCGUCACCAAUGGAAGACCCAGGCCGUGGAGCGAGGAAGGCAGAAAGCAAUCUGGACAGCCUUGUCCUCUGAAGGCUAGGCUGGGCACGCCUCAACCCAGCCCUGUGGAUCCACUCCCACCUGAGCGGCUGAGCCUGAGGGUCCAGACUCCAGAUCACCGAGCUCACGUGGGCGACGCACCGUCCACAAUGCAACCCCACAUUUCCGGCCAGGUAUCUCGUCGCCUCCCGUCCAUAGAAAAGCACGACGUCGCUUGUCGAUGGCCCAUGGGCGAGAGAGAAGCGUGAUGGAGACGUGUGCUGGAAUUGAACUGCGGAGAGGGUCGCCGCAGGCAACGUAUAGCUCGGCCGGCCACCAUUUUCUCCUUCCAGCAGGAUAUGUACAGCAUUUUUAUUGUUGUUGUUCUAAGAGCAACUCCAAUAAACUCCCUAUAUUCUUUCUAAUAUAUAUAAAUAAAGUUUUUUUUAUAAAAAA